rnacentral:misc_RNA from 1 species
UUUAUUUGAGGUAAUAUACCAA